rnacentral:rRNA from 1 species
UACGGAGGAUGCAAGCGUUAUCCGGAAUGAUUGGGCGUAAAGCGUCCGCAGGUGGCGAUGUAAGUCUGCUGUUAAAGAGUGAGGCUCAACCUCAUAAGAGCAGUGGAAACUACAUAGCUAGAGUACGUUCGGGGCAGAGGGAAUUCCUGGUGUAGCGGUGAAAUGCGUAGAGAUCAGGAAGAACACCAGUGGCGAAGGCGGCUCUCUGGGACGGUACUGACGCUGAGACGCGAAAGCGUGGGGAGCGAACAGG